UUUAACACAAUUUUUCUGACACAAUAUGAAAAAUAUGUACAUGUUUUUAUUUUCCUGCAGCAACUACUUGCCCAAGAAGACGAGCGAUGUGAGGAGUCGCGGUUGCAGGGCUAGGGCUUUUUUUUUUCAAGCAUCAAGAUCAAGGAAGAGUCACUGACAUGCUGACCAGAAGAAGACAUUGUGGUGUUGGAAAACCCAACCCCCUUGAGGUAGCAGCACAAUACACAGAAAAGAAAAGGACCCUCCUCACUUCAUUGUCAAGCUGUUUGAGAACAAAGGAAGAGGGAUAGUGGCACAAAGAGACAUCUCAAAAGGGGAGUUUUUGUUGGAGUACCCAGGCCAACUUAUAUCUGCCCAAGAAGGCAACCAACGUGAGGAGGAGGAAUCAUCUGGUUUUCGUUUUUUUUUUAAGCAUCAAGGACAAAGCUACUGUCUUGAUGCAACUGAUGAGUGUGCUUUUGGGGAUAGACUCGGCCGCCUCGUGAAUCAUGGACAAGGGAGGGAGGAGAACGCCCGAAUGAAGAUACUAGAUAUGAAGUCACAUCCACACAUGUGGAUAAUUGCUACAAAGAACAUAUCUAAAGGGACCGAAGUUCUGUACAAUUAUGGAGUUCGAGAACUGCCGUGGAAGAAAAAGCAUUUCAGAGGACAAGUUCAAAGGGAAGAA